rnacentral:rRNA from 1 species
GCCAGACUCCUACGGGAGGCAGCAGUGGGGAAUAUUGCACAAUGGGGGGAACCCUGAUGCAGCGACACCGCGUGGGUGAGGAAGUACUUCGGUAUGUAAAGCCCUAUCAGCAGGGAAGAAAAUGACGGUACCUGACUAAGAAGCCCCGGCUAACUACGUGCCAGCAGCCGCGGUAAUACGUAGGGGGCAAGCGUUAUCCGGAUUUACUGGGUGUAAAGGGAGCGUAGACGGCGUGCCAAGUCUGAUGUGAAAGGCCGGGGCUCAACCCCGGGACUGCAUUGGAAACUGGCAUGCUGGAGUGCCGGAGGGGCAAGCGGAAUUCCUAGUGUAGCGGUGAAAUGCGUAGAUAUUAGGAGGAACACCAGUGGCGAAGGCGGCCUGCUGGACGGUGACUGACGCUGAGGCUCGAAAGCGUGGGGAGCAAACAGGAUUAGAUACCCCAGUAGA